rnacentral:rRNA from 1 species
GACGAACGCUGGCGGCGUGCUUAACACAUGCAAGUCGAGCGAGGCCCUCCUUCGGGAGGUGUCCUAGCGGCGAACGGGUGAGUAACACGUGGGCAACCUGCCCUCAGCUCUAGGAUAACCCCAAGAAAUUGGGGCUAAUACCGGAUACGACCGCUGACCGCAUGGUCUGGUGGUGGAAAGAUUUAUCGGCUGGGGAUGGGCCCGCGGCCUAUCAGCUUGUUGGUGGGGUAGUGGCCUACCAAGGCGACGACGGGUAGCCGGCCUGAGCGGGUGACCGGCCACACUGGGACUGAGACACGGCCCAGACUCCUACGGGAGGCAGCAGUGGGGAAUAUUGCGCAAUGGGCGGAAGCAUGACGCAGCGACGCCGCGUGGGGGAUGACGGCCUUCGGGUUGUAAACCUCUUUCAGCAGGGACGAAGCGAAAGUGACGGUACCUGCAGAAGAAGCACCGGCCAACUACGUGCCAGCAGCCGCCGUAACAC